AUUGAACGCUGGCGGCAGGCCUAACACAUGCAAGUCGAGCGAGCGGCGGACGGGUGAGUAAUGUAUGGGGAUCUGCCCGAUAGAGGGGGAUAACUACUGGAAACGGUGGCUAAUACCUCAUACUACCGGUUGAAACCAUAGGGGAUUAGCUAGUAGGUGGGGGAAAGGCUCACCUAGGCGACGAUAUCGAGCCGGUCUGAGAGGAUGAUCAGCCACACUGGGACUGAGACACGGCCCAGACUCCUACGGGAGGCAGCAGUGGGGAAUAUGGCACAAUGGGCACAAGCCUGAUGCAGCCAUGCCGCGUGUAUGAAGAAGGCCUUAGGGUUGUAAAGUACUUUCAGCGGGGAGGCGUUACCCGCAGAAGAAGCACCGGCUAACUCCGUGCCAGCAGCCGCGGUAAUUC
rnacentral:rRNA from 1 species